rnacentral:rRNA from 1 species
AUUGAACGCUGGCGGCAGGCCUAACACAUGCAAGUCGAGCGGAUGAGGGUAGCUUGCUAUCUGAUUCAGCGGCGGACGGGUGAGUAAUGCCUAGGAAUCUGCCUGGUAGUGGGGGGCAACGUUUCGAAAGGAACGCUAAUACCGCAUACGUCCUACGGGAGACAGUGGGGGAUCUUCGGACCUCACGCUAGCAGAUGAGCCUAGGUACGAUUAGCUAGUUGGUGAGGUAAAGGCUCACCAAGGCGACGAUCGUUAACUGGUCUGAGAGGAUGAUCAGUCACACUGGAACUGGGACACGGUCCAGACUCCUACGGGAGGCAGCAGUGGGGAAUAUUGGACAAUGGGCGAAAGCCUGAUCCAGCCAUGCCGCGUGUGUGAAGAAGGUCUUCGGAUUGUAAAGCACUUUAAGUUGGGAGGAAGGGCAGUAAGUUAAUACCUUGCUGUUUUGACGUUACCGACAGAAUAAGCACCGGCUAACUUCGUGCCAGCCGCCGCGGUAAUAC